CCUACGGGGGGCUGCAGUAAGGAAUAUUGGUCAAUGGACGCAAGUCUGAACCAGCCAUGCCGCGUGGAGGAUGAAGGUCCUCUGGAUUGUAAACUUCUUUUAUUUGGGAAGAAACUCCCGAUUUCCAUCGGGAUUGACGGUACCAGAUGAAUAAGCACCGGCUACCUCCGUGCCAGCAGCCGCGGUAAUACGGAGGAUGCAAGCGUAAUCCGGAUUCACUGUGUUUAGGUGGGCAGGUGGUUCGGUGGUGAAAUCUCCGGGCUUAACCCGGAAACUGCCAUUGAUACUAUGUGUCUUGAAUACUCUGGAGGUGAGCGGAAUAUGUCAUGUAGCGGUGAAAUGCUUAGAUAUGACAUAGAACACCCAUUGCGAAGGCAGCUCACUACGGAAAUAUUGACGCUGAGGCACGAAAGCGUGGGGAUCAAACAGGAUUAGAUACCCUAGUAGUC
rnacentral:rRNA from 1 species